UACGGAGGAUCCAAGCGUUAUCCGGAAUCAUUGGGUUUAAAGGGUCCGUAGGCGGUUUUAUAAGUCAGUGGUGAAAUCUGGUCGCUCAACGAUCAAACGGCCAUUGAUACUGUAGAACUUGAAUUAUUGGGAAGUAACUAGAAUAUGUAGUGUAGCGGUGAAAUGCUUAGAGAUUACAUGGAAUACCAAUUGCGAAGGCAGGUUACUACCAAUAGAUUGACGCUGAUGGACGAAAGCGUGGGGAGCGAACAGG
rnacentral:rRNA from 1 species